rnacentral:rRNA from 1 species
GACGAACGCUGGCGGCGUGCCUAAUACAUGCAAGUCGAGCGGACAGAUGGGAACUUGCUCCCGGAAGUCAGCGGCGGACGGGUGAGUAACACGUGGGCAACCUGCCUGUAAGACUGGGAUAACUUCGGGAAACCGGAGCUAAUACCGGAUACGUUCUUUUCUCGCAUGAGAGAAGAUGGAAAGAUGGUUUCGGCUAUCACUUACAGAUGGGCCCGCGGCGCAUUAGCUAGUUGGUGAGGUAAUGGCUCACCAAGGCGACGAUGCGUAGCCGACCUGAGAGGGUGAUCGGCCACACUGGGACUGAGACACGGCCCAGACUCCUACGGGAGGCAGCAGUAGGGAAUCGUCCGCAAUGGACGAAAGUCUGACGGAGCAACGCCGCGUGAACGAUGAAGGCCUUCGGGUCGUAAAGUUCUGUUGUUAGGGAAGAACAAGUACCAGAGUAACUGCUGGUACCUUGACGGUACCUAACCAGAAAGCCACGGCUAACUACGUGCCAGCAGCCGCGGUAA